rnacentral:rRNA from 1 species
UACGUAGGGUGCGAGCGUUAAUCGGAAUUACUGGGCGUAAAGGGUGCGCAGGCGGCGUCGCAAGUCAGGCGUGAAAUCCCCGGGCUUAACCUGGGAACUGCACUUGAAACUACGAUGCUGGAGUAUGGCAGAGGGAGGUGGAAUUCCACGUGUAGCGGUGAAAUGCGUAGAGAUGUGGAGGAACACCGAUGGCGAAGGCAGCCCCCUGGGCUGAGAUUGACGCUGAGUGCACGAAAGCUAGGGGAGCGAACAGG